AGGCUACUCCAACAUUGGAAACAGAGGACUGAACAGACUGGGGCCAAUCCUACAUCGCUGUGAAUCUCUCUAUUUGAGAUACAACUGCCUGGAUAGACAAGCAGCUAUUUUAGAGUCUGCGAUUCUCAGAUCAAAUGAGUGUCAAGUGAAGAAGCUCUUUAUGUGUGGCAACAACCUGGGCCCAGAGGGGGUUUUGGAGCUGUGGAACGCCCUGGAGCACAACACCACUGUGGAGGAACUCUAUCU